rnacentral:rRNA from 1 species
GGGGGCCUACGGGAGGCAGCAGUGAGGAAUAUUGGUCAAUGGGCGGGAGCCUGAACCAGCCAAGCCGCGUGAAGGAAGAAGGCCCCAAGCGUCGUAAACUUCUUUUGUCGGGGAACAAAGGGCGCCACGUGUGGCGUUGUGAGUGUACCCGAAGAAAAAGCAUCGGCUAACUCCGUGCCAGCAGCCGCGGUAAUACGGAGGAUGCGAGCGUUAUCCGGAUUUAUUGGGUUUAA